UCUAAUAGAAAUUUGACACGUCAGCUCAAGCAAAUUUCGCACAAAAUCAUUCGUGGCCCAGCUUUGUAGUUGCUUAGCAUCUUUAAUUGUACUCAGUUUAUGUUUAAUCAUUUAAAGCUAAGUUAAUUAACAUCCAAAAGUAACCAUGGUUUGUAUUUAGUUAUCUAUUAAAUUUUUUUUUACAGAAGAUAUUUGUUCAUCUUUCAAUCUAAUCGGAACAAAAUCAUCUCUUCAUCUUCCAACCACCAUAGCCAACAUCUCAUCUUCCAACCACCGACAGUCUCAAAAGCACAACAACCGCUCUCCUCCGUACGACUGCGCCGCCAACCGUUCUCCUCCCUCCACCCUCGUUUUCACACCAUGACUCAAAUCACUCGCUUUCCCUCUUCUCUUUUCUUCCAGUUUAGAACCCUAAACUUUUCCCUCUUCUCUCGCUUUCACUCUUUUUCUAUUCUAUUUAAAUUAGAACCCUAAAUCUCAUUUGUCCUCCAACAACAACAACGUCUCUACACCUCUGAGCAGUUUGAAUAUCAAGGAGGCGGAGCGAGGAAGAAGAUGAAGAAGGAGGCGGAGCGAUGAAGAUGAAUGACAAUAAUAGUGGGUAUCAAGGAGAGUGAUCGGCGCAUUCUGAUGGUGUGGCAAUUUUUUCAAUGUACCAGGAUUUUGGAUUUUCCAAUGAAUUUGAAUAUUUCCUUGAUCAUUUUCAGGUGCUAGAAUUGAAGAGAGGUGAAAAGGGUCAACAAAGAAACCAAUAUAUCGGUCAAAAUAAACUUGGAUGGAAAUGGGAUUGCUGAUUCUAGUUCUAGAAUUCCCUUCCAUUAUCAUAUGCUUGAUCUUAGUAUUUUUGACUCAACCACACUAUUAUGUUCAUGUUACUUCUUACCUAUGAAGCACUAACAUAAACACUUGAGAUGACCCGGACACUAGAAAGUAAUAAAAAUUUAAGACAAAUGGAAGUCAUUGAAUGUAAUAACAUGUGUCGGUUUCAUGUCCAGUGACGAUGCCAACACGUGUCUAUUCGAUGAGUGUCAAUGCUCUAUAGUUUUUAGUAUAUCCCGUUCUUGCUAUUUGCUGCCUUUUAUAACAUAACAUGAGAUUUCAAUCACUACACACACAGUCCAAAGAUGAAUGUUGUAACUUGUAAGGUCCGAAAGUGUAUUAUUCCAUUGCGAUUUCUUGUUGUAGUAGAAUACCGAAAAUAGUAAUCAUGUAGUAGAUAGGUGCACGUGAGAUGAAUGAUGGACUUGUCUAUAGAAGAAUAAAUAGAAAGAGUUUAGGCUACCAAAUGGCCUAAAUAUCUAUUUUUAUUUGCUUCAUUUUAUUAAAAUAAUUUGCUACUGAUUUCAACACAAGGAGGUAGGGUCACAUGUGACAGUGUGAAUGUUUUUGCACUUUUAUGAAUCUUAGUCUGAUUUUCUGUAUAAUUGGGCUUCUUAAAUCUCUGUUUCCCUUCUUAUACUUCAUUUUCUGGUAUUUAACCUUACAACUCAAUAGAAGCUAUUUUUUUUAAUGUGCUCUAGAAGUUUGAUAAUAUGCUUGUUUGAAACAAAGAUGCAGUACCAUUUUAUCUUCCUCUUAUGUUCUUAAAAUUUAGAUUGUUUCUCCAAUGGUAUCUAAAACUGGUUGAUACCACUUUAUUCUGGAAAUUUGAAAUUGAACACUUUCAAAUGGUUGAAUUGCUAAUAUAUAGCCAUUACAACUUGAAUUUAAUAUUUAACGUUAGUUCUUUUUUUUUUUUUUUUACCAAAACUUUGGUUCUUUAGGUACUGGUGUAGCAGCUGAAGUGCAAAUGAUAUAUAGCACUUUAUAUGUAAAAUAAUAUGAAAGAACUAGGCAUUGGUGCUGGUUAUCCGUUGCAUCGAGUUAUUUUCUAGAUCAGUUAACUGACUUGGCAUUGAUUCUGUCAAGCUGAUAUAUAGCUAUGCAAUCGGGUUUAAUGUAGUUGCGAUUUGUGACAAAGCUCACUAGUGCUUAGUUUGUAUUCACUAGGCUUACAUUGUAAAUGGGUUUAUACCCAAACUUUUAUUGUAACCUAUUAUCUUCUACAAAUUGUAACUAUUAUAUAUUAAAUGAAAAAAUUUGCUUGAA